AACAAACGCUGGCGGCGUGCCUAAUACAUGCAAGUCGAACGGGGAAAGCUUUCGGGUGAGUACUAGUGGCGCACGGGUGAGGAACGCGUGGAUAAUCUGCCUUAGAGUGGGGGAUAACUGGUCGAAAGAUUAGCUAAUACCGCAUAAGACCACAGGAGCUGCGGCUCAAGGGGUCAAAGGUUUUUCGCUCUAAGAUGAGUCCGCGUAAGAUUAGCUAGUUGGUGAGGUAACGGCUCACCAAGGCGACGAUCUUUAACUGGUCUGAGAGGAUGAUCAGUCACACUGGAACUGAGACACGGUCCAGACUCCUACGGGAGGCAGCAGUAGGGAAUAUUGCACAAUGGAGGAAACUCUGAUGCAGCGACGCCGCGUGAGUGAUGAAGGCCUUCGGGUCGUAAAGCUCUGUCGCAGGGGAAUAACACAAUGAAUGUACCCUGUAAGAAAGGAUCGGCUAGCUUCGUGCCAGCCGCCGCGGUAAGAC
rnacentral:rRNA from 1 species